rnacentral:rRNA from 1 species
UACGUAUGGGGCAAGCGUUAUCCGGAUUUACUGGGUGUAAAGGGAGCGUAGGCGGCAGGGCAAGCCUGAUGUGAAAGCCCGUGGCUCAACCGCGGAACCGCUUUGGAAACUGCGAGGCUGGAGUGCUGGAGAGGUAAGCGGAAUUCCUGGUGUAGCGGUGAAAUGCGUAGAUAUCAGGAGGAACACCGGUGGCGAAGGCGGCUUACUGGACGAUGACUGACGCUGAGGCUCGAAAGCGUGGGGAGCAAACAGG